AUAUGGGAAAUUUUUUCAGGACAGUACCAAUUUUGGCAGUGGGCAUCUGAAAAGAGGGACACUUCUUUUCCAUAGCAAGGAAAGCAUGGAGCCCCAGUGCUGCAGGAGCUGAUGAGAAGCAGCCCUUGACAUCCCAAGAUCAGCCAGACCUGUCAGGUGGCCCCUGGGAGGCCAAGCCAGCCAGACCUGCUCCAUGUUCCUUCGGUUCCAUGGGGCCCUACAGUGUCCCAAUGGUCCCUUGCUUCCAUGAGGCCCUGAGGUGUCAUAAUGUCCCCUUGGUGAAACGAGACCCUGAAGAGUCAGAAUGGUCUCCAUGGUUCCACCAGGCCCCACAGAGUCACAAUGGUCUCUGGGUUCCAUGAAGCCCCGCUGUGUCACCAUGGCCCCUUGGUUCCAUGGGCUCCAGUGGUGUCACAAUGAUCCCCUUGGUUCCAUGAGGUCCCUUCCCACAGUGUCCCAGUGAUCUCCAUGGGAAGGAAAGAACCAAGCCCCAGUGUUGCAGGGUGUCCUGGUUUGCCAAACAAAUUGCAGGCAUCUGCUGAUAACAGACUAUUGAAUGUCACUGCAUGACUGAUAAGAACUACAGCAUCCCAUUGUGAGAUGAUCCAGCCAGAGGGAUGAGCCAAGCAUUCCUACCCAGAUACAAUCCUGUGCUUCUGGAACACCAGCAUGGCUUUCUCCACUGGAAUUCCCAGAGGAGCAGCUGCCUCUUCCACUGGAUCUUCAGAGGAAGACUACACCCUUUUCUACAGGAUCUGUGCUCCAACAGAACCACACCUGACACUCCAGGAGGACUGCAGCCACAUUUUCAAUUGGACUGCUACCAGCACCCUGACCAACAGGGUGUCGAGUUGUGUUCUGACUCUGUCAGUCUUAUUUUAGUUUACUGCAUUGUUUAUUUUAUCUUUUUAUUUUCUUCCCUAUUAAAGAACCGUUAUUUCCUGCUCCUGUA